rnacentral:lncRNA from 1 species
UUGAGGAGUGGGGGUGGCAGGCUUCACCAGCGCUAGCUUUCUUCUCCCUAGGGGCAGUAUCUCCCAAUUACGCCUCCCUGUCAUCAACACCUCCUUCUUGUCUAGGCCCAUCAACCUUCCCAGACCAGUUCCUGCAUGGCUAACUCACCAGAGGAAGCAGGACCGCACACCAAGAUGAUCUGCUUAGCCAUGCUCAACC